rnacentral:rRNA from 1 species
CCUACGGGUGGCAGCAGUGAGGAAUAUUGGUCAAUGGGCGCGAGCCUGAACCAGCCAAGUAGCGUGAAGGAUGACUGCCCUACGGGUUGUAAACUUCUUUUAUAAAGGAAUAAAGUGAGGCACGUGUGCCUUUUUGUAUGUACUUUAUGAAUCAGGAACGGCUAACUCCGUGCCAGCAGCCGCGGUAAUAAGGAGGAUCCGAGCGUUAUCCGGAUUUAUUGGGUUUAAAGGGAGCGUAGAGGGGUUGUUAAGUCAGUUGUGAAAGUUUGCGGCUCAACCGUAAAAUUGCAAUUGAUACUGGAAGUCUUGAGUACAGUGGAGGUAGGCGGAAUGCGUGGUGUAGCGGUGAAAUGCUUAGAUAUCACGAAGAACUCCGAGUGCGAAGGCAGCUUACUAAACUGCCACUGACAUUGAUGCUCGAAAGUGUGGGUAUCAAACAGGAUUAGAUACCCGGGUAGUC